AAUUCAAAAGUUAGAACUGAGAACCCAGAAAUUUAAUCCUGCAGAUUUUAGGAGGGAAAACCAAAAUCUGUUCUGCUCUGCCCUGCUGUGCUGGAGUCCAAUCCAAAACCCAUUUAAGAGAGAGAGAAGAGAAGACGUUGAAAAUGUCUGCUUCCUGCCAUACGUUGUGAAACUGGUAAGAGCCAUUGAAGAGAGAGAGAGAGAGAGAGAGAAUGUUUGCAGAGGAGAACGGGUUGAAGGGUGACCCAAGGCUGCAAGCCAUUUCUGAGGCCAUUAGAGUGGUUCCUCACUUCCCAAAGAAAGGAAUAAUGUUUCAAGACAUAACUACAUUGUUUCUCAACCACAAGGCCUUCAAGGACACUGUGGACAUCUUUGUUGAUAGAUACAGAGAUAUGGGCAUAUCUGUUGUUGCUGGAGUUGAAGCUAGAGGGUUCAUGUUUGCUCCGUCAAUUGCCUUAGCGAUCGGUGCGAAAUUUGUACCACUUCGCAAACCUAAGAAGUUGCCAGGUGAAGUAAUUUCCGAAGCAUAUGUGCUAGAGUAUGGGACAGAUUGUCUGGAGAUGCAUGUAGGUGCUGUUCAGCCAGGUGAACGUGCAUUGGUAAUUGAUGAUUUAGUAGCAACAGGUGGGACUCUCUCUGCAGCAAUCAAGCUUUUAGAACGCAUGGGGGCUGAAGUGGUUGAAUGCGCAUGUGUUGUUGGGUUACCGGAGGAAGAGGGACAGUGCAGGCUAAAUGGAAAACCAGUUUAUAUCCUUGUCGAGCCACGCCAGAUAGAACAUUGUUGUUAAGGUACAACACAAAUGCAUUUGGAAUAUGAAAUUCAGAAUUUCAGUAACUUGUAGCGCAUCUACCAGAUACUGCACAAGUAUGAUGAUUACAUGCUUGGGCUGAUUACAUGUGAAAAGAUGAUGCUUGGGCAACAGUAAUAUUAUGUUUUUCUAAAGAUUGAUGUUUCAAGUCAUUGAGUUGUCUCAAAAGGCCCUUUUAUAAAAUUUGUUCUUUGUAGUAGAGAUGUAUCUUUGUAGACAGUUGCCUUGUGAUAAUUUGGAAGCAGCAGCACAAUAGGAGCUGUUUCGUUCUGUUGUUUCAUGACUGAUAAGUCUACAAUUCAUUUGAAUCAGUUCAGCAAGUUUGAAAAUUCAA